rnacentral:rRNA from 1 species
UAAUGCGUGACCAACCUGCCCCAUGCUCCAGAAUAGCUCUUGGAAACGGGUGGUAAUGCUGGAUGCUCCAACUUGACGCAUGUCUUGUUGGGAAAGNGUUUAGUGGCAUGGGAUGGGGUCGCGUCCUAUCAGCUUGUAGGCGGGGUAAUGGCCCACCUAGGCUUCGACGGGUAGCCGGCCUGAGAGGGCGGACGGCCACAUUGGGACUGAGAUACGGCCCAGACUCCUACGGGAGGCAGCAGCG